UUCUGAGGAACCAUGGAAAAGUCCGUGAUUUUCUAGCACACCUGCAAGCAAAAGGGUUUAAACCAACAACUCAGAGAGCUUAUCUGAUGGAUGCUGUUGCUUUCACGAAAUAUAUAUUAAACAUGUCACCACCACAAGUCAGACUUGGAAUUAAAAGGAUCAACGCCCUUUUGGUCGAACUGAGGGCACGUAACAGAGAUGUUGGCCGUGAAGUAGUCGUGUACCAGCUGAAUGUGCGGAGAUCUAAGUCUAACAGACUUAUCCAAGCAGAAAAACAUGCUU